GUUGUCGUAGCUUAUCUCAAGCAUAGCACUGAAAAUGCUAAGAUGGUACACGCCCGUAUAACA
rnacentral:tRNA from 1 species